AAUCACAGGGUGAUCUAAACACAAGGAAGGCUGAGAAAUUAGGUUUCUUCAUGAAUCCAGGAAGAAAGAAAUAGAAUCAUCUUCUCCACAGGGACCCAUCCUGUUGUUCAGCAGGCAAAUUGACAGAGAGCAGUGUUGCAUGCUGGGCAGCCACGUAAGAUGUGCCUGCUUCCCUUCGCCUUCUGCCAUGAUUGUAAGUUUCCUGAGGCCUCCACAACGAUGCUUCCUAUAGAGCCUGUGGAACAAUCAAAAUGUCUAACAGCGGAUGUAAAGUGGAUGCAAUGUCUGUAUCCAACAGACAUUAUGUGGCUUUGAAUUUAGGCACUGUAAUUAUAACCUAGAAGACUCUGUAAGAGUCUUCACGGGAAAAUCAUCACAGGAAGAAGAGAAACAAGUUGCAGCAAAAGUCACAGUGGGGUAGCUGUCCCUAGAGUUGAACAGACACAUUUCAAGCCUUAUCCAAGUUUAGGACUUUCGGAAAGCAUUGCCGUUGGGAAUAAGAGGAUGUGCUUGGAUAAAAAUGUUGCCAUUAAGAAUGGGAGAAUGUGCUUGGAAUCUUACUCUUGUGCAUUGAAGAAGGAUAAGAAACAGGAAGAAGUAGAAGAAUAAGGGGCUGGAGAUCAAGACCUACCCAUUGUGAUGAAUAAAUCCAGGCUCUCAGCAAUUUAGGGAGAAAAAGCUUUGUCUAUCAACACUGCAGCAACCAGUCUCAGCACAGGCACCAGCCCUG
rnacentral:lncRNA from 1 species